rnacentral:lncRNA from 1 species
GGCAAAUUCCAAUAAGAGGUUAGAAUUAGUUACCUGCAGAAGAUUUGCAGAAAGAAAAGGCAUCCUGCAGUAAGAGGACUUGUUCUCCGCCUGCUUCUGCUCAGGUGCACGUGCUGUGGGGGCGCUGCUGAAGGAAGGACAUUAACAGAGCAGAAGGCAGUCCUGGUAAUCAGGCUCCCAAUAUGGCCAAAUCCAUUCUCACCGACCUUCACCAUUUUGUCUACUGGACGAGGCUGGCACUGCACAAGAAGAUGUGGCUGUCUCUGGAACAAGGUGGAGCAGAGAGCCUAAAAACACAUUUCUAAGGGCAGACUUGAGUAUCCUUCCUUAAGGAAAAACAUCUGUACUGUCUAUUCUUGCAAAUGCCAUGGAAUGGAUUUUGAGAGUUUCUCAGAUCUACACCCAUAAAUGGAUGUGGUAGAUCACAGCUCUUUGAGCAGUGAAUUUUAUGGGUGCUGUGCUGUCACAUUGGUUCUGAUUGAGCCCACUUUUCCCUGUCAUCUGUAAUGACUUUGAAAAACAUGGAACGAAAUCCUGGACAUGAAGAAAAUUGGAAAUGAUUUCAACAAAAAAAAAUUGCUUCUAAAUCUAAGUAGAAAACAAAGCCUUCCUUUCGAUGUGAGGAUCCAUACUAAAACUUGACUCACCAUGGUUUAGUACCCAGUAGCUCUUCUCAGUCAUGGAGUUAUACAGCACUGUGGGGCCAUCAUUAGAUCAUCAUUGUUCUACAUGCAUCUAGUGAUCUCAUGCACUUUAGUUACUCACACCAUAUCGUGUAGGAGCUGAACACAGGCUGCACAAGAGCCUGGCUCACUCCGCCUCUUUACUGGCUGAAGCAGAUCCUGCUUGCAUGAGGGCCACACUUUUUCUUGGCUCCAUGAUGCAUUCACCCUGAGUCUCUUUCAUUAUCAUUCUAUGUUUCCUUUAUUUUUAAGUAAAUAAAAACAUCCAACAUGUCCUUUAUCUUUGCCUUUGCUUUGAUCUUCUGUUCUUGAACAUUAAACUAAACAUGGGCAUGUACUCAUGCAUUAAUUUCACCUAACUCAGCGAUGAGGUCUAGUAAUGUUCACAUUCAGAUAUAGCAGUGUUACCUUAUAAAUUUAAACUGUAAAUAAUUCAUAAUGGGCUGCAGAAGUGACUCAAUGGUUACGCGCACUUGCUGUUCCUUCAGGGCAUCAGCAUGAAAUUUUCUACAAUUACAUAGCACCUCACAGCCAAGUAGGCAUCUGAGAAGCCAUCUCUGGUCUCUGUAGGUAUUGCAUACAUAUGGCAGACAGACAAGUAAACAAACAGGCAAAACAUCAAUUUACAUACAACAAAUAAAUUAAAUAAAAAAUAAAAACUUCAUUAUAAGUUUGCAUGCUUGC